UGGCCCGCUGAAUGAGCCGUUACUCUAAGUACUACUACUUUUCCUACAGCAACAGCGACAGUAACCCGCACAACUCUUUUGCCUAUGAGCUUUGAUUGAUUACUUUACUUUACUUUCAUUCAUGGCUCAAUCAUGCCAUCAAUCAGUGCAUAUCGCAAUCAUCUUAUCCUGAAGACUGAAUUGUUAACUGCUAGUUAAUUUAUGGAUCAGCCUCUUCAUGUAUCCAUCAAUCAACCAAUCACAAUUAUUAAUAGUGUGGAGAAAACGCAGAUGCAGACGUGACUUUGUCAGAGUUUUUGAUUUGAUGACUCAGUCGAACGGUCAACACAUUUCAAUCAUUGCAUAUGUCAAUCAUCCAUUUGCAUUCGCCCUGCAGCACACCUUGAAUUGCUGACGGUCUGCUAAAAUUACGCUACAUUUUUCUCUAUGAUUUCAUAAUUAUAUAAAUAAUAAAAGAGAUGAAAAUGAAAGAACCGCCGCACAGCCAAAAUAGAAUUACGUCAAUGAUUUUUAGUAUUUAAUUCUUUUUCUCUUUUCUUUUUGGCAAAGGCCCACAAAAGUUGUAGGCAAAAUAUACACAUGUUCAUAAGCUUUCUGCUGGUAAACACACACACACAGAUACAUGCGGAGAUACUCCGAUGGAUAUUUAUAUAUACAUACUAUAUAGCGGUAUACAUAAGGCUUGGGAGAACAUUUUCUAUUUGCUCAUGCGUGCUCCGGAUCAAAUAACUGAGGCACACAAUUUUAGAUACACAUUCUGUUUCUUUAACAAUUUCGCGAUUGUUGAUAAUUUGUCCAUUCCCCUGCUCUAUUUAUUUAAUACCCUACACACAUCCCUGGUACCCUCACAGUCAAAUAUACUUUUUAUUUUUCGGAACUAACCAAUUUUUUCUUUCUUUCUUUUUUCUCACAAAAUGUUUCAGAAAAAACAUAAAUGUUUAUCGA